GGCUUAUUCUUCUACCCUGAAGAUGGAGGAGGUAUAUUCCUCCAAAACGUCGGCUGAUUGUCAGUGAGCUGUGUGGCUUUAUACCCCACAAGACAGAACGCUUCAGUAACUACAUUUCUUCUACAAAUGAAAUUAAAGGUUUGACAAUGUGACCUUCAACGGCAGGAAGUUCAUAGCAAGUUUAAUAAAUAAUGGUCACCGUUUCAAAGGCUGAAAUGGAGGACACACAAACACAGAUAGCAUUGUGACCUCAAGGAAAGAAAGUAUGCCAAAAAUGUAAUGAAAGAUCCUCCCAUCUGAUAGUAUGAGGGUUGCAUCUGACUUCCAGUUGGUGAAGAGCUGCCACUGUUGUUGGCACUAACACUUCCUCCAAUCAUACUA